rnacentral:lncRNA from 1 species
ACUUUGGUUAAUCUCAUAUAUCCAGCGCCUAAAUUUGGGAUCUCCUCUCAAUAGUUCUCGAACCUUUAAUUCCCACCGUCACUAUUUUCCACUGCCUUAAGCGGCUGUCAUUCGUUAAUUGCGACGUGUUAUGUUUUGCUACCACCGCCCACUGCUUCCAAUUGCAAACCAACAACAUAUAUUAUAUUGCUGCCUCUUUCCUCCAUGGCUCAUCUAACUGGAUUAAUCCUUACCCUACGGAAGCUCCCUUCAUACCACAAACCGAUUUUGACCUCAAAGCUAAGCUCAAGAUUAGGGCUUUGUUUUUGCUUCUUGGGUAAACUGAAGCUUUCAUCGGCGACCAUCCUGCUACCGUGUUCUACUAUACGAUUGUGCUAAAUCAAGUUUUCUCACCACCUAAUGGUAAAUGGGUUCCAGCAGUCCAAGAACAAUUUAAAGCCCUUUAAUAUUUCUUUUGGUUUUCUAUCUAUCGGAUUAGGUGGAAUACUCUAAUGUAAGUGUUGAUCCCGAUUUCUACUUUCAUUUCUGUUAUCUGAUUCUGCUUUCAUGUUUUAAAGCCUAAUACCUUUGCAAAUUGAGCUAAACGUUAGGGAAUCAUAUAAAAGAGAGUAUAAAACAAGUAUAUGCCAUUUAAUCGACGUUCAUAAUUAGGAGUGAGAAGAGCAAAAGGGUAUACGCCAUUUAAUCGAAUCACCUCGACAAGGAAAUCGCCAAAUUGGUAAAUCCGAUAUAAAAUCUUGAAAAACGCAUGUUGUAUGGAUCGAGGUGCCCUCUAAGGUUCUUUUUAAUCAAUUUUAGUAUUGUGAUUUUCUAAUUUUUUGAGUUGUAGUUUCGACCUCAAUUUUCAAUAGCCUGUAAUUGUAUUCUAAUUUGUUUUUUUGAAGCACACCUCCAAGGGCAUCAAAAGUGAGAAGCUUUUGAGUUUUUUUUGUUCUUUUAUUUCUCUUAUUCUGAUUCAUUUGUCGUCGAUCAUCAAUCAUCAUCUCUUCAUUUGUUUUUUGUGGUUUGUUACAUGAGGGUUGUUUCUUGUUGUGGUUCCACUAUUGUAGAAUGUAGCAUACAACAUGAAUGCUUCAUAUUUAUCGUCUGUUUAUAUGUUUCUAUUUGAUUUAUAAAAACAUUCCUAUUCUAUUAUAGUAUUGAAACCUUAUUACAGACACAAUAUUUUUAUUGACAUGCACUUUUAUUUGGCAUAGGAACUUCAAUAAUUGCAAGGAACAUUACAUAUAAGAUGGUUUUCGGAUUUCAAUUGAUAUUUUCUUUCAUUGACAUUUAUAUAGGCAUUAUUGAUGAGGAAGGUCUAUUUUCAAGAAAAACAAUAAACAGUUGUCAGGAAGUAGUAGGUGCUGGAAAGGUUAGUUUAGUCUUUUAUCAACUCUUAUUUGUCAUAUCUCAAAGACAUAAAUUAUGCAUAAUAUCUAAAAUUGUGAUUUUUUGUUUAUUUUAUGAAAUAGUUGUGACUUUUGAACAAUAUUUGACAUGGUUGUGCGUUUUUCACAAUAUCCAAAAGUGAUUGUAAUAAUUUUAAGAAUUGUUAUUUAUACUUUAUCUAAAAUAACAAUGUGAUUCAAGGUGAAAAUAGGUUUUAGUUGACUGAUGCUUUGACCAAGGUUCUUUGUUGUUGACUACACAGGCACACUAGAAGAUUGGAAAGAAUGGAUACAAUUGUUGCAGGGGCAAAACCGAAAAAACAAAAGUUGGGUAAGAAAGUGGGUGGUGGUUGUUUGGUGAAAAAGAAGCGUAAGCUAUCUGGUAGGAGGAGUGGUGUUGGUAAGGUCCAUCUGUAUAAAACCAUUUCUCCAUAAGUCCUCUUUUGUUUUGUUAGGUUUUGAAAUUUCAUAAAUUUUUAUUUCUAAACAAUUGUUUAAGAAUUAUUGAUUUGUGCCUCUCCUUACAUUUUUAUUUGUAGUUGAACGAUUUUCUCUAGGAGUGAGAAAUCCAACAUUUUUUUUUCUUUUUUUGUUGGGGCAUUGGCUACCGAACAUAAGUUUGUGGUGGCUUGAUUAGACUUCCAAUUCAGGUUACAUACAUAAUUUCUAUUUCAUCACAUGCUUUCCAUAUUUUUACAAUUGCUAUAAUAAUUUAAUAGACUUAAAACCUCAUGUAUACGUGCUAGAGGUUUUUUGUUAUUUCAUCCAAAUAAAGUGUUGAAAUUAUAAGAGUUUAAUAUCACAAACUUAUAAUUCAUUAUAUCCUUUUGAGUAUCCUUUUACAUAUUUUUUAGUUUAUGUAUUCUAUUUAUAUAUUGCUUGUGUUUGUUAUGAUUUGGUGCAGAAGGAUAUAUUUUGUAUAGUUUGCGGAAGUAUUGGACUAAUAUAAUGAUGUGGUGAAGUUAUGAAACACACGGGUCAUAUUUGAUCCAUAUUGUUGAUCAGUGACCCGGUUGACUAGUCAGAUGUAUACAUUAGUGAUUAUGUGAGAGUUGGAGUAUGAUUCUGCCUAUUCAUCUUCUUACUAAUAACUUCUUCUUUCUCUAGUCAUUAGGGUUCUUGUUCUUAUGUUUAACCUUUUGUUCUUAAUCAUUGAUUCACGAAGAGUGUAGAUUAGGUGAGUGAUUUUACAGUGAGGUUAUUUUGUAGAGUGAAGAGAGUUUAUGUAGUGAGGUUUUGGAUUGCAAGUAUUCUUGAAAACCUUCUAGUUCCUAAUGAAUUAGAACUGUUGAUGUUGUGAUUUCUUGUUUUCGUGUUUCUUUUGAUGGUAUCAGAGCCGAGUUAUGGUUGUUUCCGAUCUGAUCUUCGUCUAGAUCAAGUUAGGGUUUAGAUUGAGUUAGGGUUUCAGGUCAUUUUGUCUAGAUCAAGUUAGGGUUUCAGAGCUUGUGUUUGGAUCUGGUUCUGGUUCGUUCUUCUCUUCUCCAUGGGUUCUUAGAUCUUUUAUCAAAUCUAGGGUUUGGUUUAGAUCUAUUUAGAUCAUGAGGAUAUUAUCAACCUGGUUGUUCUCUUGUCACAUCUUAAGAGUAUACGUUCGAGAUAGUUGUAAACGUUUAGGGUUAAUGUUGUGUUAAUCCUAACGGCCAAUGCUAUUGAGACGGUCAACGUUAAGAUUGUGGAAACAAGGUUCUAAAAUCGGGCUGGUUCUGGCAUUUGAAUGCCUAUUGUCAUUUUUCAGCGGUGAAUCUAUGUUUUGGAUUCAUCGGAACUACACUGCUGCUUGCUGAGCUUUUUUAUUUGAGGAUCUUUGUAAGUUUCGCACACCUCUCUGUCUAUUUCUUUUGUUACUUGAUUCUUGAUAGAUCAGUUAAUCUUCUGAUCACAGUGUUACACACCUGUAAACUAGCUUGCUCUGGCCUUAUAUGUGCUAUGAUUCUUCUCUAGUUUAUAGAAACUAUUAUGGAAGAGUGUGAUUGUUUUUUUAAUUUCUGAUCUAUCUGAUUUCUUGAUUACUUAUUUGUUU